UCGUAAAUUGAUUGAGGAAGUGAAACCCUAGAAGGCCCAAUUGUCUAUAAAUGGUAAAGGACAGUGGAUCGGAAGACAACGCGGCAUUCCCCGGCUGCGCGAGAGAGGGAGUCGGUGAGGGAGAUCGGCGGGGUUUUAAUGUCUUGAUCCAAGACAAGCAAGGGUCGGAUCGAGCGAUGUAGUAGCUCUCGGCGAACCUGCUCGAGGAUGGGCGAAUGCAUUCGGGGAAGAUUCAACACUGCUUGUGGUUCUGAGCCUUAGGGCUUGAAUCGAAGAGGCCCGUCUUAUGGCACUUGCCAGGAAGCACCAACAGGAAAAGAUGAUCUGUAGAAAUAUGCUUGCAACGCCCUUCCUACUUUUUUUAAUGAUAAAAGCCGUUUAAUUAAAUUUCACAUAGCUAUUAUCAGGCGUUUAUCAAUUUUACCGUUUGUCACUUUGAUUCCCGUUGUUUGUUGUGACUUGGAGUUGGGAAUUGUUCAUUGUGUUGAAGUAGAGUUUGGUGUAUAUGGAACUAUGGGUUAAUUCAUCCAUACUUUUACUGUGUUGAAGAGGUUGCCAUGGGUCCAAAGAGUGAGUCUCCUGUACUCCAUAAGCUGCCUUGCAUUGAUUGGCUGCUGAUUCCAUGGGUGAAACAUGUACUUAGAUUACUAUUUAACAAUAAAAAUAUGAUACUUGGAUUCUAUA